rnacentral:rRNA from 1 species
GAUGAACGCUGGCGGCGUGCCUAAUACAUGCAAGUCGAGCGAACGGACGAGACGCUUGCUUCUCUGAUGUUAGCGGCGGACGGGUGAGUAACACGUGGAUAACCUACCUAUAAGACUGGGAUAACUUCGGGAAACCGGCGCUAAUACCGGAUAAUAUUUUGCACCGCAUGGUUCAAAAGUGAAAGACGGUCUUGCUGUCACUUAUAGAUGGAUCCGCGCUGCAUUGGCUAGUUGGUAAGGUAACGGAUUACCAAGGCAACGAUGCAUAACCGACCUGACGGGGUGAUAGGCCACACUGGAAGUGGGACACGGUCCAGACUCCUACGGGAGGGACCAGAAGGGAAUCUUCCGCAAUGGGGGAAAGCCUGACGGAGCGACGCCGCGUGAGUGAUGAAGGUCUUCGGAUCGUAAAACUCUGUUAUUAGGGAAGAACAUAUGUGUAAGUAACUGUGCACAUCUUGACGGUACCGAAUCAGAAAGCCACGGCUAACUACGUG